rnacentral:lncRNA from 1 species
GCCAAAUAUAGUUACUGCAGCCGAAAGGGAUUCUGGUCACUUGAACUUCAAAUCUCAGCACCUGAGUAUAAGUCACUGCUGCAAUCCAAUUUGAAUAUAAUCAGUGCCAAUCAUCGUUGUUGGAGAAGUGGACCAUCCCUUUUAUUCCACCUGU